rnacentral:lncRNA from 1 species
GCGAAAUCUUAUAAAAUAUAGCAUAUUAUCAUUUACUGAAUUUUAGUGUGCUUGCUAAAAAGUGAUUGAUAUACAGUACGAGAUUAGAUUCAGUGGAGUCCCUACUCCUGCUAAUGGUUAGAUACACCUUAUAAUGAACAAAAUUUAUAGGUUACACUAUGAGAAAAAAAAAAUCUACUAUUGCGCCAGCUUUACUUUCGGUGUACCAUCCCUAUCAUACACACAUUCUCUCGAUUAAAUAAAACAAUAAAGUGAAACAAAUAAAUUUCAGCAGAACAAGACUAUCAACCAGGGUUUAUUUCUGAGUCAUCUCUAAUGCACCACUAACACACAAAUCAGAUUUCCUUUUCUUACUGUGCACAGACAGAUCGAUUGAAAAUUUAAAUGCUAGGAUUUCCAUCAUAUAAGUCAUACAUAAUGUUCGUUUUCAUACC